ensembl:Y_RNA Y_RNA Y RNA
GGCUGGUCUGAGUGAAGUGGUGUUCACAAUUAAUGGAUCACAGUGAGUUCCAGAUUUCUUUGCUCCCUCUCCAUUCCCACUGCUUCACUUGACUAGCCUUAA